CCUACGGGGGGCUGCAGUGGGGAAUAUUGCACAAUGGGGGGAACCCUGAUGCAGCAACGCCGCGUGGGUGAAGAAGUACUCCGGUAUGUAAAGCCCUGUCAGCAGGGAAGAAAAUGACGGUACCUGACCAAGAAGCCCUGGCUAACUACGUGCCAGCAGCCGCGGUAAUACGGAGGGGGCAAGCGUUAUCCGGAUUUACUGGGUGUAAAGGGAGCGUAGACGGCAAGGCAAGUCGGGAGUGAAAGCCCGGGGCCCAAUCACGGGAGUGCUGUGGAAACUGGGUUGCUGGAGUGCGGGAGGGGUAAGCGGAAUGCCAGGUGUAGCGGUGAAAUGCGUAGAUAUAAGGAGGAACACCGGUGGCGAAGGCGGCUUACUGGACUAUAACUGACGUUGAGGCUCGAAGGCGUGGGGAGCAAACAGGAUUAGAUACCCGAGUAGUC
rnacentral:rRNA from 1 species